AUGGGAAGAAGUGAAAUUUCUAAGGGAGAGUGAGAAGAAAGCAAAAGAUAGGACCCCAGGCAUAGCAAAUAUGUUGCUGUGACCCUCAUGUGUUCAACCUUUACUGUCUGCCCACCUUCGCUUGCUUGGACAGCUUCGUGGCAAGAGGUUCUCUUCACCACCAGCUAUGAUUCCUUCCACUUUCCCUCCAAUCAACAUCCUCUUCUGAUCUCACAGCUAUUUCUCAGGCCUCUUGAAAUAUUGAAAAUAGCAUGAGAAUGAACUUUAUUUCACCUGCAAGCCCUUAGAUUGCAAGGCUGGGAACAGAUCUGAUCUAAUCUGAUUCAUCGGAUGAGGAACAUGAAACUCAAAGACAAAUGAACCUCCCAAGCUACAAACUCCAGGAUGCAGCCAGUGGGACCAUAACCGAAUGUGCUGGCUCCGGAUCCGCAGCCCCGUCAGGAGCGAUACAACAGCGGCCGUUAUAUUCCCUGUUUGUUUUUCAAAUCAGGAAUCAUGCAGCCCCAGUGUCCUUAAAGAUAACCAGAAAGAGGAAAGAAGGAAAUGUUCACUCUAAGAAAAUGUAUUAAGCAAUUUUGGCAUUUAGUAUGGAGUUUGGCACAUUAUGUCUGGAAACAUAAAUCAUUCAUGGCCCUGGAAAUAUUAAGCAUUCAAGGGAGAUGGUUUUAAUAUUACUUUCUUCUUUUUCGUCAGCCUUCUGAAGACUGUAGUGGGCAAAGGGUGGUUUACCCCAGUUAGACUCCACUCACCCAGGCUUUCUGGCAGAUUUCAUUCCAGCUGCUGCUCUGACUUCAGGCCCUAGGAAUACGCAUACAGCCCGGCACCCAGCCAUCCCACCAAACAGACGCAUUCAUGUUUGGUCUCCUCUGAUUCAUGAGCUUCAGGCUGCUUUAAUUUCCUGCGAUUUCUUCAUAAAACAUUGAAUAUUCAAUGCUCAUUUUGA
rnacentral:lncRNA from 1 species